rnacentral:misc_RNA from 1 species
UCCCCGUUACCGGGGCAGUCUAGCUAGAGAAAUUCAACUAACUACAAGGGUUGCGCUCGUUACUGGACUUAACCAUACAUCUCACGACACGAGCUGACGACGGCCAUGCAUCACCUGUCACUGCGGCCCGAAGGCACAGUCGCCUUUCGGCGACCUUGGCAGGAUGUCAAGCCUUGGUAAGGUUCUUCGCUUACUAUCGAAUUAAACAACACACUCCACCGCUUGUGCGGGUCCCCGUCAAUUCCUUUAUGUUUUAAGCUUGCGCUCGUACUCCACAGGCGGGAUGCUUAACGCGUUAGCUUCGCUACUACCAGGAUCGAUACUGAUAACAGCUAGCAUCCAUCGUUUACGGCGUGGACUAC